UACGUAGGUGACAAGCGUUGUCCGGAUUUACUGGGCGUAAAGAGCGCGCAGGCGGUCGAUCAAGUCGAGUGUGAAAGCCCCCGGCUCAACUGGGGAGGGUCAUUCGAAACUGGUCGACUCGAAGGCAGGAGAGGGUAGUGGAAUUCCCGGUGUAGUGGUGAAAUGCGUAGAUAUCGGGAGGAACACCGAUGGCGAAGGCAGGUCUCUGGGCCACUACUGACGCUGAGAAGCGAAAGCGUGGGGAGCGAACAGG
rnacentral:rRNA from 1 species